rnacentral:rRNA from 1 species
GGAAUCUUCCACAAUGGACGAAAGUCUGAUGGAGCAACGCCGCGUGAGUGAAGAAGGGUUUCGGCUCGUAAAACUCUGUUGUUAAAGAAGAACAUAUCUGAGAGUAACUGUUAGUCCUUUGACGGUAUCCAACCAGAAAGCCACGGCUAACUACGUGCCAGCAGCCGCGGUAAUACGUAGGUGGCAAGCGUUGUCCGGAUUUAUUGGGCGUAAAGCGAGCGCAGGCGGUUUUUUAAGUCUGAUGUGAAAGCCUUCGGCUUAACCGAAGAAGUGCAUUAGAAACUGGAAAACUUGAGUGCAGAAGAGGACAGUGGAACUCCAUGUGUAGCGGUGAAAUGCGUAGAUAUAUGGAAGAACACCAGUGGCGAAGGCGGCUGUCUGGACUGUAACUGACGCUGAGGCUCGAAAGUAUGGAGAGCGAACA